GACGUAGGAGGCGAGCGUUGUCCGGAUUCAUUGGGCGUAAAGAGCACGCAGGCGGUUUGGCAAGUCGGAUGUGAAAAUCCGGGGCUCAACCCCGGACCUGCAUCCGAAACUGCCCGACUAGAGGUAGGUAGGGGAGAUCGGAAUUCCUGGUGUAGCGGUGAAAUGCGCAGAUAUCAGGAGGAACACCGGUGGCGAAGGCGGAUCUCUGGGCCUUACCUGACGCUCAGGUGCGAAAGCUAGGGGAGCAAACAGG
rnacentral:rRNA from 1 species